rnacentral:misc_RNA from 1 species
GAUGAGAACGUAGCGAAAUGCGAUAAGUAGUGUGAAUUGCAGAAUUCAGUGAAUCAUCGAAUCUUUGAACGCACAUUGCGCCCCUUGGUAUCCCGAGGGGCAUGCCUGUUCGAGCGUCAUUUCACCACUCAAGCCUGGCUUGGUGUUGGGCGACGUCCCCUUUGGGGACGCGCCUCGAAACGCUCGGCGGCGUGGCACCGGCUUUAAGCGUAGCAGAAUCUUUCGCUUUGGAAGUCGGGGCCCCGUCUGCCGGAAGACCUACUCGCAAGGUUGACCUCGGAUCAGGCAGGGAUACCCGCUGAACUUAAGCAUAUCAAUAAGCGGAGGA